GAGGAUUUAGUUAAUUAAUAACAUUAGAUUGUCAAACUAAAAUUAUCAGAAGAUAAUUCUCU
rnacentral:tRNA from 1 species